GCGGUCGUGCCCCACGACCCAUUCCUCUCCCUCAUCCACGAACUCAUCUUCUUCCUCCCCAUGCACACCUUCCUCCGCGCCCCGGCGAGAUCCGUUGCGCCCAGCCUCCAUCGACCUGGCCACGCCGGAGCUCCUCCUUCCCCAGCCUUCUUCUCCGCCGACGCACCCCACACCCCAGACCAGCAGCGAAGCAUCCUGCACCGGCGGACGCGCUCCCCCGCCUCUGACCGGCGCCGACGUUGCCCCACGCCCCGCUUCUCCCUUCCGACAUCGUCCUGCGCCCCGCCGCAUUGAUCCCUCGCCGAUUCGAUGCAUCCCGCGGCUGGGACCUUCGAUCCCCGUCAGAUCCGGGCCCUUCUUGUCCAACAACGACAACAAAAGCACGCAGCGGCUGCUCUGGCUGCCCCAUCGCAGAUCCCAACCAGCGCCCCCCUGCUCGCUGUGGACUUGUGAAUCCAUAUGUCAACAUACAGUGCCGGUGCAUGGGCUACGUCGGCAAGGUCGACAAGGCAAUGCCCUUCGUGAGGACCUUCUUAGGGGUUGAAACGUCAGUGGGAGCGACGUCGGCACUGGAGUCGUGGCCGUGGCGGGCAAGGUGAACCCGGCGGAGCUCUGCCAGUGGCUCAAGAGGAAGACAAGGAAGGAUGCCAAGAUUGUCCACCUUCGUACACCUGCUAAAGAAUCAUAAUAAACAGGGCCUCACUAAAUUCUAAAAUGAUGUCAAAGCAACGUUUUCGAGGUUUUGUGCACAUGCUCAAGCAAGAAGAUUCAACAUCCACUUCUAGCGGGACUUGCUUUUUAUUUUCCCUGUUUGCAAGCAAGAAGCUUUGCCAGCUACUUCCAGUUUGGGGGCAAUGCAAAAUGCAAUGGCCAGCAGGUGUGCUCUUGUAGAAUACAACUGCAAGAGAAGCAUGGCACAUCCCUGACAAACACGGCACCGUGUUUUACAUGAAUUGGUCCUCCUUAUAGCUUGCUUUUUUUAAGAAGUUGUGAGUUGUACAUUUUUCACACAGAAGGAUGAUGAAGUUGUGUCGGUGUUCGGGUGUUCGUCGGAAACGAUGUGUAUAGAGGAUCUUCUUGCAGACUGGAAUGACAAAGACCUUUGCGCAUGAUCUGCAUGUUAGGAAGGAGUGAUGGAACCACUUGGUGGGGAGGCAAGAUGUUUUCCAUUGAGGGCCACAUGGGAUGGGGACAACCUUUCCUUUCUAGGACGGUGUGGACAGAAAUUUACUUUUUGGGGGUGUGUGCUCGGGGGCACUAGCCAGCCAACGGGUGCUGGCUAGACGCGUCCUUAAAUAAUUUGUAAUGAGGUUGUACUUAAACUCGAUGAGCUUCAA